GAUGAAGAACGUAGCAAAAUGCGAUAAGUAAUGUGAAUUGCAGAAUUCAGUGAAUCAUCGAAUCUUUGAACGCACAUUGCGCCCGCUGGUAUUCCGGCGGGCAUGCCUGUUCGAGCGUCAUUACAACCCUCAGGCCCCCGGGCCUGGCGUUGGGGAUCGGCGGAGCCCCCCGUGGGCACACGCCGUCCCCCAAAUACAGUGGCGGUCCCGCCGCAGCUUCCAUCGCGUAGUAGCUAACACCUCGCGACUGGAGAGCGGCGCGGCCACGCCGUAAAACACCCAACUCUUCUGAAGUUGACCUCGAAUCAGGUAGGAAUACCCGCUGAACUUAAGCAUAUCAAUAAGCGGAGGA
rnacentral:misc_RNA from 1 species